UGAAAAACCAUCCAUCACCAUGAGCGGCGCCGACCAGCUCCACCUCGAUGUGGUGGCGGAACCCCCACCGGAGCUGACCAGCGACGACGAUCAGGUGCUCUACUUCGGCGGCCGACGCCGGUCUGGUACAUGGAUUGUCUCUGGCUUUGUCGUCGUCCAUAUCAUCGUCUUCCUCGCCACAAUGGCCGUCAACAACUGCCCGGUGAGGUCCGUCGGCG
rnacentral:misc_RNA from 1 species